rnacentral:other from 1 species
GAUUCCCUACCAUGUACGUGAUGGAGAAGAUAUUUUUUAGCCAACACUUUGAGCCCGGAAGCCCGAUAUCUGGCCGGUGAUGUCAGGCCCGCCGAGACCGGGAAGGCUGAACCGGUCGUGAGGGCAUCCACCUUUCGUAUGGGCUUAAAAGGAUUCUUCACACACGGCAUCGAGUGGGGAAUUU